AGGGGGAUACUACUGGAAACGGUAGCUAAUACCGCAUAACGUCUUCGGACCAAAGUGGGGGACCUUCGGGCCUCAUGCCAUCAGAUGUGCCCAGAUGGGAUUAGCUAGUAGGUGGGGUAAAGGCUCACCUAGGCGACGAUCCCUAGCUGGUCUGAGAGGAUGACCAGCCACACUGGAACUGAGACACGGUCCAGACUCCUACGGGAGGCAGCAGUGGGGAAUAUUGCACAAUGGGCGCAAGCCUGAUGCAGCCAUGCCGCGUGUAUGAAGAAGGCCUUCGGGUUGUAAAGUACUUUCAGCGAGGAGGAAGGGGUUGUGGUUAAUAACCUCGGCCAUUGACGUUACUCGCAGAAGAAGCACCGGCUAACUCCGUGCCAGCAGCCCGGGGUAAUACGA
rnacentral:rRNA from 1 species